CCACUCCAGUUCUCCUCCCACCUCGGGAUCCCCCAGACCCAAUCCAGCUAGUGCAUGGCAAGCCAACCACCCGUGGCCGAGGAGAUUGAGCCCCUGCGUUCCCUAUGUCCAAGGAGAGAUCCCGUUCCCAAGCUCCCUCAAACCCCCGCGUACGAGCCAGCUCGCAGGAGCCCCUCGCCGUCGCGCCCUGGGCCGUCGGAGCGUCGCCCCG
rnacentral:lncRNA from 1 species